rnacentral:rRNA from 1 species
CGCAUUUCAAGAUAGCCAUGCACGUCUAAGUACAAACUAAAUGAUGGUGAAACUGCAAAUGGCUCAUUACAACGGUUAUGAUGUACCCGGGAGUUCCGAUGGAUAUUUCCAGUAACACUAGAACUAAUACAUGUCCCUGCGUUUAUUAGUUUCGCACAGUCCGUCGCUGAGUCAUGGUAAACAGUUGAUCGACUCGACGUCCCGGAACAGUUUCCGCCCCAUCAGCUUCGAUGGUUGGGUAUUGGCCUACCAUUGCAACAACGGGUAACGAGGAAUUAGGGUUUGAUUUCGGAGAGGGAGCCUGAGAAACGGCUACCACAUCUACGGAUGGCAGCAGGCGCGCAAAUUACCCAAUGCAGACACUGUGAGGUAGUGACGAGAAAUAAUAAAGCGGGACUUCUGUUUCGCUAUUAUAAUGAGGAAUAACCAAAGGUCAUUCCGAUUAGCAACUGAUGGGAAAGUCUGGUGCCAGCAGCCGCGGUAAUACCAGCGUCAGUAGC